GAAAGACUGCUUUGUUCGCGGUCAACUGGGUGUGCUUUUGAACCGAUACAUGAACCCUGGGAGACUUUCUCUCGGGCAAGGGAGUACGCCCCGCCCGCAGGGGACACGAACGAGUCCGAGGGGUCACCCCCCUGUUUAGGAGAAGGGUUCAAGUCCACCCGAUCCAGCGGCAAAGCGGUUUUUCG
rnacentral:other from 1 species